UUAUUGACGAAUCAAUUUUCUUAUCAAUCUCAAUCUGUAUCUCUCUCUCUCUCUCCCUCUCCCUCUCAAAACAAAAACACAAAUGCUGUGUGUUCUUCUCCAGCGCCCCUUCAGUAUGUUCUUCUCCAGCGUCGUUGCCAACGUCCUUGUUCUCCUCCUUCAGUGUCGCCACAGACGUCGUAUCUCCUUUACUGCUGUGUGUUUUCUUCCAUCAGUGCCUAGUAAACACCCUUGCGGCUUGACACGCGGGUUGAAGGUUCAAGCAAUGGUUGAGAAAGAUGGAAAGCUCAAAGUUCCCAUACCACAGGAGUAUUGUGCUCCAAUGGGGGAUCGUGCCUCUCAAUUAGUCACCAAAAUUGGUGUUGAGAUCCGAACACACUUGCCAGACUUCAGCAUUCGCAGGUGGAAACAUAUCAACGAAUAAGCUACGGCACCUACAUUUCAGCGUCUAAUGGAUCAAUUUGACAUACAAGGUGAAUCCACAAAUGUUAGCAAAACGGUGGCAACAAAGUGUGGAUAGAGCUUGAGCACCCACACCUACCAACUACGAAUAAAAUACUUGAACCUUAAAAGUGCUAAGGGAGAGGAGUAUGCUAGAAGCCACCCACCGCCUGAAUGUGACCUUGAGAAAUGGAAAAACUUGAUUGACAAGAAGUGGAAUGAUAACAAUUGGCUGGUAAACUUUUCUUAUGUUUAUUUAUUGUUGACAAUUACCUUGUCUUCCUAAUAUAUAUAUUUUACUAUUGGAACUUACUCCUUAUAGAAGCAAUCAAUAGCUAACAUUGACAAUGGAAAUCAAUUGAAGACGAAGCAUAGAUGUGGGUCAAAAUCUCUCCCAGUUAGGGUACACGAGGUGAUGCAUCUUCUUUAAAAAAAAAUUUCCUUUU